GACGAACGCUGGCGGCGUGCUUAACACAUGCAAGUCGAACGGAAAGGCCCUGCUUUUGUGGGGUGCUCGAGUGGCGAACGGGUGAGUAACACGUGAGUAACCUGCCCUUGACUUUGGGAUAACUUCAGGAAACUGGGGCUAAUACCGGAUAGGAGCUCCUGCUGCGUGGUGGGGGUGGGAGAGUUGCGGCGGGUGGGGUUGGACGCGCGGCUUAUCAGCGUUUUGGUGGGGUAGGGGCUUGCCAAGGCGUUGACGGGUGGCCGGCCUGAGCGGGUGACCGGCCACACUGGGCCUGGGAUACGGCCCAGACUCCUCCGGGAGGCAGCAGUGGGGAAUAUUGCAUAAUGGGCGGAAGCCUGAUGCAGCACCGCCGCGUGCGGGAUGACGUCCUUCGCGUUGUAAACCGCUUUCGCCUGUGACGAAGCGUUAGUGACGGUAAUGGGUAAAGAAGCCCCGGCUAACUACGUG
rnacentral:rRNA from 1 species